rnacentral:lncRNA from 1 species
AUGGAUAAAGAAUAUUUGUCCCUUAUGGCUGAACUGGGUGAAGCCCCUGGCCCAGCAUCUGUGGGGUCCACCUCUGGCCCUGCCACCACACCCCUGGCCAGUGCACCGAGGCCUGCUGCUCCUGCCAAUAAUCCACCUCCACCGUCUCUCAUGUCCACCACCCAGAGCCGCCCACCCUGGAUGAACUCUGGCCCUUCAGAGAGUCGGCCUUACCACGGCAUGCAUGGAGGCGGUCCUGGUGGACCUGGAGGGAGCCCCCACAGCUUCCCACACCCAUUACCCAGCCUGACAGGUGGACAUGGUGGACAUCCCAUGCAGCACAACCCAAAUGGACCCCCACCCCCUUGGAUGCAGCCUCUACCACCACCGAUGAACCAGGGCCCCCACCCACCUGGGCACCGUGGCCCUCCUCCAAUGGAUCAGUACCUGGGAAGUACGCCUGCGGGCUCUGGGGUCUAUCGCCUGCAUCAAGGAAAAGGUCUGAUGCCACCGCCACCGCCUCCCAGUGGGCAGCCCCCACCUCCCUCUGGCGGCUCCGUGGCAGCAACAGCAGCAGCCUCCACCAGCCCCUCCGCCCAGCAGCAGUAUGGCUUCCAGUACCCCCUUGCCAGGGCAGCAAAGAUCCCUCCCCGCUGCGAUGCCCAGAGCCAUGAGAAUGAGGACUUUCCGCGCCCAUUGGUGACCUUUCCAGGCAGACAGCCUCAGCAGCGCCCCGGUGGACAGGAUGGUUCGGCAAAGCAGCCUGAGUUAUUUUUGUGGACGGAAUCGGAACAUGCUGGCUCCAUGUCGUGAAAUUUUUAAUUAACUUUUUUCUUUUUCCUUUGUUACUUUCUUAUCUCUUCCUUUCUUCACACUCCAUCCAAGGAGAUGCUUUCCCCGGUCUUCUGCUGCAAUUAGAAUACUUUCCCUUCACUCCAUUCUCCUUUCCCUGCCAAGGAGAGGGGAGCAAAUGGUUUUAGGCACAGACGGCCUUAAUGUCAGACCUCGUGGGCAGGUGGUGUCCUUUGGUUCUAAGUUUUUUCCAGGGACCAUAGCCGCCCCAAAGAUGCUUGUCUUUUUAAAGUGUACCGUUUGUCUCUGUCACUCUUGGUGAAGUUGCCCAGGGCUGGUUAAUGUCCAGGCCCAGCACCUGCAUCCUGCCAGCAGGUGGUACAGCCCAAGCCACCGAGAGCCACCCUGCCAGCCUAGAGUCAUUUUUGUGCUUUGACCACCUAAGCUGCCAUAGAUUCCAUUUGUUCCUCUCUCCUUCCUGGAAGGCUUCCUUUUACAUUUUAUUUUAAUCUCAAACGUCUGAAUGUUUUGCAGUGUCAAGAGGUUUGAGCCCCUUGUUCCUCUUACUGCUCCCCACCCCUCAUGGAGUGAUUAUGUUAAUGAUGUGUGACACACGUUCUCUUCACUGGUUUUACCUACAGAAAUUUCUCUGGGCUUUUUUUCCGUGUUUGAUUCAACACUGCACUAAAGGGGAGGAUGUUCCAUUGAAUAAAAGAGCAGUGUGGUUAAAAAAAAGGAUAAACUCCAGUCAAUUGUGGGAAAACAGACUCACUUUGAUGCCAUAACGUUAAGUGAAAUAGAUCAGACACACAAGCUUCAAUAUCGCAUGGUUUCUCUCAUAGGAGAAACCCAAGUACUGUGUAAGUAAAGAGCAAAAGAAAAGGUAAGUCGUAGGGAACAGGGGGCUGGGUCUUUGGCAAAGGAGAAGGGGACCGAGAGACAGAAGGAGAAGCGAGAGGGAAGGGCAUGAGAGUAGUGGAGAUGGGCCACAGAUGUGUGCCGGCCCCUGGCAGUGUGCUCAGUGGGCCCCAAGACGGACGAAAACAUUUAAG